ACCGGACCAUGGGGUCAAAUAGCUGUAGACUCCCUGAGUGCACUGCAACACCGCAAGCAAUGCAGCUCAGCUCAUACCAGAUGAGGAAAGACAAAAGAGGAGUAAAGAUAGCGGGCCAGCAGUCAAAUAGGGGUGCUUAGAUUUGUCCUGUUUCACACAUGUACAAGUAUGCUCUAAUAUAUAAUAUAAAUCUAAUAUUUCUUCCCUGUGCCCUCUCCUGUUUGUUCUUCUACUAGUAAUCCUGGAGAUCAGCCAGAGGAAAGCUUGGGGGCUUUGGUUCGCACCAUGAAACCCCUCCAGCAAGCAGAGAAGGAUUAUCUGUCCCUAGGGACCUGUUUUCAAGCCCUUCACAGUGUCAACUCUGAGACACAUACUGUAUCAGGAUGGACAUUUUCAUCACCCCAUCUCAACCUGCCAACAACCAUCACCCAACUGACAAUGCAGCAGCAAAACACCUGCACUCUGGAGGCCUACAGGAGGAUUACCCUGACACAUCACUAUGGGAUUCAAGCUCCACCAGCACAUCCCUCCACCAACACAAAUGUUCCACACAUACACACUGUACUGUACUGGCCCUCAGAGAGACACCAGAGGCAAGGUGCCACGGACACAGUGCCUUCAGCUGAGACCUCACCUCCCCUCCAAUGGACUGCCUGGGGGAAAGGAGCAUGUGCUGCACGCUGUCUCUUCCCUAGUGUCUUAGUUCUGGAAUAAGAUCCCAGAGAGACCAGUACAAGAGGACACACUGUGUAUGUUUCCGUUAUGUAUCUCCCUAGUCUUCAGCAGGACUGUGUUUGGUCUAUAGCUACCCCCAGUGGAGUACAGGUCAUGUUUUGUAGCAUCACAAUGUAUUCAUGGUGUUUUGUCGUUGUCCCAGGACAAAUGUAAGCACAUAAAUGUGUCUGCAAAUCAGACAGCGUUUGCAUGUUGUUACUUAAGUGAAAAUCAUUUCAGUGUCACAAAUUGGGAUUGUUCAUCUCAAGAGGUGAAUGUCUUUGAGAAAAUGUAUUUAACACACUCACACACGCGCAAGCACACACAUAUUAUUGCAUUCCUCCACAGGAGGUUGGUGGCACCUUAAUUGGGGAGGACGGGCUCGUGGUAACGGCUGUAGCGGAAUAUUUGGAAUGGUAUCAAAUACAACAAACACAUGGUUUCCAGCCAUUAUUAUGAGCCGUCCUCCCCUCAGCAGCCUCCACUGCAUUCCUCCACUUUUUUUCCUUCCUCCUCCUCUCUCUUCCCAUUCUACACUCUCAUCUCCUCUUUCCAACAUUUUAUCUUCUUCACCAAUAGCGACAAUAAUUGCAUGGGGAAAGUCAUCAGAUUAUCUACUCUUCAGAAGCAGUGGCCAAAUGACGUCACAGCUGCAGGUUGUUCCAGGUGGCUUAUCAGAAGUGCUGAGUGACUUUGUUCUCUCUGACCUCUUUCUCGAAACAUGGUCCACUCUUCGCUUCUCCCCACUUCAUUUUUUUGUAUCGUUGGGGAAAUUAAAACUUGCCUGUGAGUUACCCUAGCAAUAAAUCACUUGUCAGCAAAACUCACCAUUACUGCUAAUGUGGAAAACCUCAAGCUGCAGUUCAGUGCAUCUCCCAAGAUUCCUAAAUGAGUCAUGUGAUUCCAUUUCUAUUUAGUCAACCCCACACAUGCGUUACAUACAUUAUAUCUAUGUAAUGUGACAUGUUUGUGAGUUUGAGACUGUGUGUGUGUGUGACUGUGAAAGUGUGUGACAGUGUUUGUGUCGGUGGGAAUGUGUGCAGCAUGUACAGUACUGAAUACAUGUACGCUUGAGCCGAUACCCAGCUGUAAAAUGUAGAUAGUCUCAGCUGGUACUGUACGCCUGGCUGACUGCACUCUAGAACCCUUGGCAUCGGAGUGCUGAGAGACACACACUUCUCAGGAGAGCCACUCUCUCUAUUGCCAGGAAUGAGGAACCAUCCCCUUCAUACAUCCACACACACACACACACACACACACACACACACACACACACACACACACACACACACACACACACACACACACACACACACACACGUCAUUCAUAUCAUAGAUUAGUUGCACAAAAUGAAUCCAAGCCCCCGUGUUCUCUGUGGCUCGGUAGGGGCUCUGGCUGCAGGCAGACGUAUGUACGUGUGCACGUUUGUGUCAUGCUCAUGCAGAGGAGGAGAGGAGACCCCGAGCAUAGUCCUUCCACUCUCAGGCAGACAUCUGCCACAUGAAAAGAGUGAUGCUGUGAUGCAGAAAGGAGUGAUGCAGAUGGGGCGGCAGGUAGCCUAGCGGAGUGUUGGGCCAAUAACAGAAAGGUCGCUGGUUCAAAUCCCCAAGGCAGCAAGGUGAAAAGUCUGUCGAUGUGCCCUUGAGCAAGGCACUUAACCCUAAAACUGAUUUAAAAAGGUACAUUAUAUGGCAUCAGCCAGUAACAGCAUGCUUCAGACAUAGUGCUGUUAUUACUCUGGGUGCAAACUGCAAAGCAUCCAUCUACUCUUCAGAGGAUGUCUAAUGACAGACUGGGGGUGUAUUUAUAAAGUUCACUCUUCUGAAUCAUGACUCUGCAUUCAACGCUUUGAGUCAAGACAAAGGGAAGCCCACCAAUCAUAUCAUGAGGAGUGUACACAUACAUGCUUUUCUCUCAAUGGAUCUAAAUACCAAGCCAGUCAGUAAAGAAUGGGUUUUAGUGUAAAAUGUUUAUUGUACACUGUGCUUAGCUCUUUGGCUGUAUGUAUAACGAUGAUCCACUAUCUGAUCAGUUGAAGGAGCUCGAACGGGACCAAGGAUACCAGAGAUUACGGAAAAUGUAUAAAUAAAUUCAUCAAGAAUUUAAAGGGGAAAGAAGACUCUUAUUACUUUCAUUGCUAAGUAUGAAUACCACAGUUGCAAAACUGUUUCAAUUUCUAACAUUGUCAUUGCCCCCAAAAUGUCCCAGUCAACAAAGUCAGACAAAUCCUUAUGGUAUUACAAGGCCUGUUUCAAUAAACUGCUUUAGUGUUGUAUUGGACACUGUAAAAUGCAUUUGUCUCUAGAAAGAAAUGCAAAGUGCUGUGUCACUGUGCUUUGACUUUACCUCUAAUAUCCUGGAUGUGAGGAGAGAGGGAGACUCUCCAGGAGUGAUGUAACGACAGGGCAUCCUCUCCUCUGCCUUAUGAAUCCCUAGGAGCAGUCACCAUAGCAACAAUAUUAGACUAAGC
rnacentral:lncRNA from 8 species